rnacentral:rRNA from 1 species
CAAUAGCGUAUAUUAAAGUUGUUGCAGUUAGAACGCUCGUAGUCGGAUUUCGGGGCGGGGCGACCGGUCUGCCGAUGGGUAUGCACUGGUCGGCGCGUCCUUCCUUCCGGAGACCGUUCCUACUCUUAACUGAGCGGGGGCGGGAGACGGAUCGUUUACUUUGAAAAAAUCAGGGUGUUUCAAGCAGGCAGCUCGCUCUUGCAUGGAUUAGCAUGGGAUAAUGAAAUAGGACUUUGGUGCUAUUUUGUUGGUUUCGAACACCGAAGUAAUGAUUAAAAGGGACAGUCAGGGGCACUCGUAUUCCGCCGAGAGAGGUGAAAUUCUCAGACCAGCGGAAGACGAACCACUGCGAAAGCAUUUGCCAGGGAUGUUUUCACUGA